rnacentral:rRNA from 1 species
CCCUUAGAUGUUCUGGGCCGCACGCGUGCUACACUGAUGCAUUCAACGAGUCUAAAACCUGGUCUGAUAGGGCUGGGUAAUCUUUUGAAAGUGCAUCGUGAUUGGGAUAGAUGAUUGCAAUUCUUCAUCUUCAACGAGGAAUGCCUAGUAAACGCAAGUCAUCAGCUUGCAUUGAUUACGUCCCUGCCCUUUGUACACACCGCCCGUCGCUCCUACCGAUUGGGUGAGCCGAUGAAACUCUCGGAUGUAGGCUAUUCAUAGCCCGCAGAAGAGAUUUGAAUCGUAGCGCUUAGAGGAAGGAGAAGUCGUAACA